UACGUAGGGUGCAAGCGUUGUCCGGAAUUAUUGGGCGUAAAGGGCUCGUAGGCGGUCCAUCGCGUCGGGAGUGAAAAGCUGGGGCUUAACCCCAGUCCUGCUUCCGAUACGGGUGGACUAGAGGUAGGUAGGGGAGAUCGGAAUUCCUGGUGUAGCGGUGAAAUGCGUAGAUAUCUGGAGGAACACCGGAGGCGAAGGCGGAUCACUGGACUGCCACUGACGCUGAGGCGCGAAAGCUAGGGGAGCAAACAGG
rnacentral:rRNA from 1 species